rnacentral:rRNA from 1 species
UACGUAGGGUGCGAGCGUUAAUCGGAAUUACUGGGCGUAAAGUGUGCGCAGGCGGCAGAGCAAGUCGAGUGUGAAAGCCCUGGGCUUAACCUGGGAAUUGCAGUCGAUACUACUCAGCUAGAGUAUGGGAGAGGGUAGUGGAAUUCCCGGUGUAGCGGUGAAAUGCGUAGAUAUCGGGAGGAACAUCAGUGGCGAAGGCGGCUACCUGGCCCAAUACUGACACUCAGGUGCGACAGCGUGGGGAGCAAACAGG